CUCAUGUCAACAUAAGGGUUAUAUUUUUUUUAGGUAAUUGUUGGAGAAAGAUGGCUUGGAAAUCUAUCAAUUCCCUGGUAAUCUGCAGGCCACUGUAGCAUAGAGUGUCUUCUUGGGAAUAACGAAAUGGCACCUGCUCCAAAUGGUUCCCAUGGGAACCUAGAGAAGGACUUUCCCUAUAUUCCCCACCUCUUUGGGCUUCAGCAAAAGAAAAUGGACCUCAAGGGAGUCUUCAAGAGCUGCUUCAAAAUUUACUGUUCAUCAAAGCACUUGCUGAAGACUGGCUUCGUGUCAGAGGCUGUGCUGAAUGUUAUGGAGAAGGAGGUGAAGGAGAUUCGGUGCUUACCAUGAAGGAGAGGUGGCUGCAUGAAUGUGUCAUUUUAUUACAGUGCAAUAAGUGAGGUGAUGAGCUUUGUGCAGAUUUUAUGGAAUUAAAGAAAGAGGUCAGGAAAGCUUUUAGGAACUGUAGAGACAGUGCCUAAAUUGUGUUUGAAGUUUGUCCCGAAUCAGCAGAUGAGAGAGGAGAGAGAAGAGUGGAAAGAAAUCUAGGUCAAUUAUCUUCCUAUUUCAAUUCAAAAGCAUAAAGGAGACUUAAAACACAAAAGAAAAAAAUGAGAGGAAUUAAACUUCAGAAAAGUAAAAUACACAAUCGUCCACGGCUUAUGUCCAUGUGAGAAGAAUGGAUAUGGGUUCAGCUAAAGGAAACUGUGAACUAUGGAAGAAAAAAAUCCUAUGCAUUUGUCAUCCUGGGUUUUCCCAAGUAAAAGGGGUCAAAUAGCCACCUUUGGGAUGCAUCCAAUAGUCCCAUGUAAGAUAUUUUCUUAGGGUGCGGGGUGAGGAUGACGGGGGAAGACAUGUACCAAUCUGAAAGGGAGUAAGCUUGACCACGUGGCCGAGUGGCAUCUCUGAAACCAACAGGGAUGAUGAUAAUGCUAUAGUCCACCUGGUUGGUCCAGAAAUGGUGCUUUCAUCAAAAGAACACACUCUAGCAAUCUACAACCAUUUCAAAAUAACCCAAAUCUUUUGUAAGUGUGUGUCAGCAACAGGAAGGUGAAACAUAAUUUCCAGGAACAUUCAAAUUCCCUCUUUUCCUGCUUUUUUCCCACCUGCCUCUCCAUCUUCAGGUGCUGCCUUCAGUUUCUCUGCCCUUUAACUCUCUGCUUAAAUCCUCAUGUCCUUUUUAUUACCCCAUCAUUUCCUCUUGACCUUGAAUCCUACUAUCUCAAGAAUUAUAAGGAGGACCUCCCCAUUUGGAUGGGGGAGGAGGUUCAACAGCUAAUUAUUUUAAUUUAGUCAUGUUCUCAUUAAUAGAAUCACUGGGACCCAAUUCUGCUACAGACAUAGAAUCUUAUAGUGUGAGAAGCGGAAGGAAAUCGGAUAUCUUAGUACAAUGUUCUCACUUUACAAAUUAGAGGUCUAUGGUCUAGAGAAAGGAGCCCAGGAGCAGCUUCUCAGGGCCAGGACCAUCUGAUAAGUAAGGCAGUUUGUUCUUGUUUAAAUAGCUACAAUCUCUUAAAUGAGGCUCAGUUCUUGUUUUAAUAGCUACAAUCUCUUAAAUGAGGCUCAGAACUUAAUUUCCUACUAUGUAAUUCCCAUCUCAGAAGAUUCUAGUGUGUCACAGUGGGAUCACAAUGCUACCUUAAAGAUUUUCCUCGUGAAACUGGAAUAGAAUUUUCGCCUUCUAUUUUUAUGUUUGAAACAUGUUAACAUUUUUUAAAAUUGCCUUUCUUGUUGGCGUUUUUAUUGAUUCUCUCCACCAACUACCCAAAAUAAUUAAAU
ensembl:lncRNA